rnacentral:rRNA from 1 species
AUUGAACGCUGGCGGAAUGCUUUACACAUGCAAGUCGAACGGUAGAGGGGGCAAGCCCGCGAGAGUGGCGAACGGGUGAGUAAUAUAUCGGAACGUGCCCAGUCGUGGGGGAUAACGUAGCGAAAGGUACGGUAAUACCGCAUACGAACUAAGGAUGAAAACGGGGGAUCGCAAUACCUAGAGCGAUUGGAGCGGCAGAUAACAGAUUAGGUAGUUGGUGGGGUAAAGGCUCACCAAGCCAACGAUCUGAAGCUGGUCUGAGAGGACGACCUGCCACACUGGAACUGAGACACGGUCCAGACUCCUACGGGAGGCAGCAGUGGGGAAUUUUGGACAAUGGCCGCAAGUCUGAUCCAGCCAUUCCGCGUGCAGGAUGAAGGCCCUCGGGUUGUAAACUGCUUUUGUACGGAACGAAAAGGUCUCUCUUAAUACGGGGGGCUCAUGACGGUACCGUAAGAAUAAGCACCGGCUAACUACGUGCCAGCAGCCGCCGCCG